CUACGGGAGGCUGCAGUGGGGAAUAUUGGACAAUGGGCGCAAGCCUGAUCCAGCAAUGCCGCGUGAGUGAAGACGGCCUUAGGGUUGUAAAACUCUUUCGCUAGGGAAGAUAAUGACUGUACCUAGUAAAGAAGUCCCGGCUAACUCCGUGCCAGCAGCCGCGGUAAUACGGAGGGGACUAGCGUUGUUCGGAAUUACUGGGCGUAAAGAGUUCGUAGGCGGACUGACAAGUUAGAGGUGAAAUCCCAGGGCUCAACCCUGGAACUGACUUUAAAACUGUCAGUCUAGAGACCGGAAGAGGUUAGGGGAAUACCUAGUGUAGAGGUGAAAUUCGUAGAUAUUAGGUGGAACACCAGUGGCGAGGGCGCCUAACUGGUCCGGUACUGACGCUGAGGAACGAAAGCGUGGGGAGCAAACAGGAUUAGAUACCCUUAUAGUC
rnacentral:rRNA from 1 species